GACGAACGCUGGCGGCGUGCCUAAUACAUGCAAGUCGAACGCAGUUGCGAACGGGUGAGUAACGCGUAGGUAACUGCCUGGUAGCGGGGGAUAACUAUUGGAAACGAUAGCUAAUACCGCUUACUACCAGGUUGACCUGCGUUGUCUUAGCUAGGUGGGGGGGUAACGGUACACCAAGGCAACGGUACAUAGCCGAACUGGGAGGGUGAUCGGGAACACUGGGACUGGGACACGGACCAGACUCCGACGGGAAGCAGCAGUAGGGAAUCUGCGGAAAUGGACGGAAGUCUGACCGAGCAACGCCGCGUGAGUGAAGAAGGUGUUCGGAUCGUAAAGCUCUGUUGUAAGAGAAGCGGUAUCUUACCAGAAAGGGACGGCUAACUACGUGCCAGCAGCCGCGGUAAUAC
rnacentral:rRNA from 1 species